UGGGCGUGGCCUCGGCCGUUGCCGCGAUGUCGGCGCUGCCCGGGCGGUUCCUGGCGCUGGUGGCGCACCUGGGGAUGGUGCUGAGGAUGGGAGGGGAUCCGCCCAAAGAUCCCACAGGGGAACUGGAACCGGGGUUUUGGGGAGCCCUCGGGGGGUCCCUGGCUCUGCUCGGCCUCGAAUUCCUGGGGCUGCUCUCGGGGGUCUCCACGUUCCACCCGGGCCAGACCCUGGC